UACAGAGGGUGCAAGCGUUAAUCGGAAUUACUGGGCGUAGAGCGUGCGUAGACGGUUGCGUAAGUCAGAUGUGAAAGCCCCGGGCUCAACCUGGGAAUUGCAUUUGAGACUGCGUAGCUAGGGUGCGGAAGAGGGAAGCGGAAUUUCCGGUGUAGCGGUGAAAUGCGUAGAUAUCGGAAGGAACACCAGUGGCGAAAGCGGCUUCCUGGUCCAGCACCGACGUUCAGGCACGAAAGCGUGGGGAGCAAACAGG
rnacentral:rRNA from 1 species